CCUACGGGGGGCUGCAGUGGGGAAUAUUGGGCAAUGGGCGCAAGCCUGACCCAGCAACGCCGCGUGAAGGAAGAAGGCUUUCGGGUUGUAAACUUCUUUUCUGAGGGACGAAGAACGUGACGUUCCCUCAGGAAUACGCCACGGCUAACUACGUGCCAGCAGCCGCGGGAAUACGUAGGUGGCAAACGUUCUCCGGAUUUAUGGGGUGUAAGGGGGGUGUAGGCGGGAAAGCAGGUCAGAUGUGAAAACUCAGGGCUCAACCCUGGGCCUGCAUUUGAAACUGUUUUUCUUGAGUGCUGGAGAGGCCAUCGGAAUUCCGUGUGUAGCGGUGAAAUGCGUAGAUAUACGGAGGAACACCAGUGGCGAAGGCGGAUUGCUGGACAGUAACUGACACUGAGGCGCGAAAGCGUGGGGAGCAAACAGGAUUAGAUACCCCAGUAGUC
rnacentral:rRNA from 1 species